GUUCCCGGAGCAGACACAGCGCUGCCGAGGUGACUCUGGCCAUGCCCCCGCCUCAUGAACCACAGGCGCCUCCUGUUGUGAGAGGUCAUCUCUGCAGACUGAGGUGGGCAGACGCAGGGGGAGAGCGCCGCGAUCUUUCUCACCGUGCUCUGAGCGCGCGUGCUUGCCAGGUGAGCCCCUGUGCAGAGCUGAAAUGGCCUCUCCCAGGGGUCUGGGGGAGGGGACAAGAGCUCACAAGCAAGACGAGGAAGAAGAGAGCGAGCACUGCCCCGAACUGCAGGGCGCUGUGAGGAGGGCUUGGCAGUCACCGGGUGGGAGGGUCUGAGCGUCCUCACUGAGGUGGCAUCUCCUGGGACCAGAAUGGAAAAUGGGAGCCAGCCCUGCACACCAGUCAGGAAGAAGGCUCCACGGGGGCGGAGACUCCCAGGCAGAAGUGAGCUGGCCAGCGGGGACUGGAGCCACUGGAAGCCACUGUGGAGUGAAUACAGCGAUAUAUUCACUGCAACUCACUCAGAGCAAGAAAUUGAGGCUCCCUGGACAUCUGUAUCACUCAGGGCAGGAGAAGACAGUGAGGGUGACUGGAGCCAGAGCAAGCAGGGCGGCAGCUUUCCACCUCACGUCUUGUUCCCGUCUCUUCCCGGGAGUGCCACGUCCUCUGGACUUCUCCUCCCUGCGUGCUGUCCUCUCUGCCUUGUGGGGCACCUCGGCUCACUGUCUGCAAGUGGCAUGGGGGAAAGCUGCCAGGUACUAAGUGUCUCCCUACAGGAAGUCCAGGGUGGAUGUGGGACCUGUGUGCGUCACUGCCUUCUAGGUCAGGCGGGACCUCCUAGACAGCAAAGGACAAGGACAGGGGCUUGAGCGCCGAGUCUCUAAGCCUUCCCCAGGUGAUAAAACAAUAUUCCUACUGCUUUUGGAAUCAGUUUUGUUAAAUGUCAGAUACUGGGCUGAGCCAAAUUGGAGAUCUUCAGUUGACUCCUUUAUAGCAACAGAGCUAUGUCCAGUUGAAAGUCAAACUCAUCAAAAACAGAGCUUUUCAAAGGAAAUGGAAAUAGAGUCACCUGGUGACCAACAUGAGCGCUCCAUCCUUAGUCCCACAGAGUCUUAGAGGAGCCCAGUGAAAACCCUCAGCCAGCAGUCUGAUUUUUUUUUAGGUUCUCAAAUGAAAGGGUUUGUAUUUUAAUGCCCCCCUCAUAUAUUUUUCUACAUCUCCUUUCUUCUUUCCUUUCUGCUUAAGAAGAGUUCCUGAAAAAUCUAAAAAGCUGUGUAGCAAAGACAACUCACUGAACAGAGAACUACUCAUCACAGUAGCAUAGAAGCUAAAGGUCUGAAAAAAAAAAAUAGGAGCGGUGAGAGGAACAGGGGACUGAGCAGGAUUUUUUUUUUUUUUUUUUUUUUUUGGUUUCUCACUUAAAGACUCUUGGAAAAAUUCCAGUCUUCUCUGGAUUAACAGGAAGAAGGACCUGCUUUGUCCACAAGUGGGUCAGGAGGCCCUAGUAAUGAGAUACAGUGGUGAUGCUGGGCUGUUCCAGGAGGGGACUGAUAGCAAAAUCAGCAGGUCUCUGGCUUCCAUGCUGAUCCAUCCUGCUGGCACUUAGCUUUCUCCAGGCCGCUGAGGGGAUGGGAUGGGGAGAGGUAGCUUUCCUCCCUAAACCAGCCCAGUUGGUCCUCGGGAGCCCUGCUGCUCCUCUAUCUUCACCACACUUCCAAAUGGAGGACACCCUUCUUGCCCCAAGGAUGGGCACUGCAGGGGAAUCCCAUGGGCUGGAUUUACAAAUGUGCUGCCUGGCCUUGGGUCCAAAUGGCUGGACCAGAGACAGAUAUGUGUGCACGGUGUCCCUGUACAGUCGCCACUGGUCAGAGCCAGGAUUCCCACCUGGGUGCCUAGUCAGUAAUGACACGUGCCCUGGGGGCUUAUGAGAUGUGUCUCAGGGACUUAGUGGAUGAAUUCUUAGUAGAUCCUUCCUGCAAAGGACCUCAGAAGCUUCACGCAGAAGAGGAAGCAAAAUGGCUGUCACCCUCUACCCUGUCAGUCAGUGGUGGCACCUCAGGGGUCUCAUUCCUGAGUGGAUGAAAAGAAACUGCUAUGCGGGGGGGGGGGGGGGGGGUCCUGAGCUGUUCCUGGGGAGGCGAAGGUGUUGAUGUGACUUUGGUGGGUGGCAGAGACUCCAGGCAGAGAAUUCAACCAGGCCUUCAAGAUACCUCAUCUUGCUCCUUCCACGGCCCCACCCAGAUGGGGGCCUGGACACAACUUGAGAGCCCAGAGGACAGGGCAUUUCCGUCUGGGUGGGGCUGUGAUGGCAUGAAGGAAGCCGUAACAUGUGGGCCUCCAAGGUGGGUGCAGUCUCUUCUCUGUGGGCCCCUGAGCAACCCAUUGCUCCUGUUUGGAACUGUGUCUCCUCAUCUGGGAAGCAGAAGGAUACGGGUCCUCUGGUACAGGCCUCAUGAGGCUAUAAUGAGGUAAAAGAGAAGAAAGGGAGGUGGGGGUUCUGUGCCUGCCCCACCUGCAGGGCUGAGGGCAAGAACAGUGCUGAUGGGAUGACAGCAAUAUGGCACUGAGUUCUCAGGAGAACCUGUGUGGCAAGUGGAAUUCCCACACUUUCCAGAUGAGGAAAUAGGCUCAGGGAGGCCAGGCCACGGGGCCAAGGCCACGUACAGAAUGAGUGUUGGAAGUGGGGUUAGGCUAGAAUCAGAGCAUGCUGGGAGACUUGGGUCAGAUGUCCAGGUCUGUGGUCAGGGAUACUAGGGGAAGAUGGGGUGAGGGGCAUACAGCCUCAGUGACGCUGUCCUCAGUUCUGGCAGGAACGACCCUCUGCCUUUGCCACCCUGAUGAUGACAUUCCAUCAUGCACAGAAGAGGUUGCAGAAGAAGACAAAUGUCCUGUAGGGGAGGGAACUCCCCCACUCAGCUGGAGGCCUCCGAACUUAGACAGGAGGGGACUUGCUCCUUCAUCCUGCCUUCUGUUGUCGCAUUGCCUGAAAUCCUCUUUUAAGAUGACCAGCGGGAGGAUCUGGAAGAGCUUGUGCAGGAUGGAUUUUGGGGUGGAAAAGGGGACAAUGAUCAAAUACCAUGUGAUUUGUCAAAGGCAGGCCUUGGGAGGUGAUUAUGGGUCUGGUAUUCUUGGAGGUUAUUAAGGGUCUGAGACCGCUCCAUGAGGAACCCCUGGGGUGGGGCCCAGAGCUGAGGGCGAGAAGUUUUCAGGGGAGGGUCCGCAGGGGAACCUGAGACCAGAGGCUCAUCCCACCCCCUCCCGAUGGCACAAGAUGCUGUCCCCUUAGCACAGUCCUCACUGACCUGAUGGUGCUGGACACGGUGACGGAGGAUUAUCUAAGGAGAGUGAACUUGGGAGCUAGACAGAGAAGACCAGGAUUGAGGCUUGGAAAAACCCCUGAGCUGUCAGCACUUGGCAAACUUCCUCUCAGGAGAGCCUCACAGCCGCCCCUGUGGGCUGGAACAUCAUGUGAGCAUUAGGGAUGAGUGAGAGGAGGCUCCAUGUGAGACACUGACCCCAGUUCCCAGGGCUGGUGAAGCAGCAGAGCUUCCUGACUGCAAAGCUGCAGGAGGUUUUGUCUGACCUGGACUCAGCCUCUGCCCCAGGUGAUAUCCACGGGGCGAGAGUGCAGCGGGGGCCUCCCCAUGUCCACCAACACAGAAGAGAUCAGUUAGCCUCUUCCUGCCUGAAGGCUCAGACUCCUGGAGAAUCAGCAAAGAGGGUUGUGCUACAAGGUCCCUGAGACUCAGCCCACAUGUCACACUCUGGGGCCAAGGCUCGGCCUAGGUCCACACCCUGUUUGCUGUGCAUUCUGGCCCCUUUGUGAAGCCUGGUGGUAGUGAGCCUAGGGGGCUAGGACUGACUGGAGGGCUCCUUCUUGUCUGUCUGUCUGUCUGUCUUCCAAGGAAAUGAGAUUAACAGCCAGAAACAGAACAAGGUGAACAGCUGUAUCUCUCCCUGUGGAAGAGGGCAUAAGAAUGGAAAUCAGAAGCACCCCUGGGCAGAAAACUCCUUGGCUUCAUCCCCUGAAUCUUACAUUUGCUGGGAGAAUUUGAUAACAGAAGGGUGGGAGGCCCAACCAGCUGAUGGGUAAGGGAAAGGGCAUGGCAUCAAGGAAAGCUUCCUGGAGGAGGGGCUCUUUAUUCCAUCUCUGAGAACAGGUAAGGCCUGGAUGUAAUUGUAGGGAAGAAGGGUUCCCAAGUGAGCAAAGACGCAGGACCAAUCCCCUGCC